rnacentral:rRNA from 1 species
GUAGGGAAUAUUGGACAAUGGGGGGAACCCUGAUCCAGCCAUGCCGCGUGGAGGAAGACUGCCCUCUGGGUUGUAAACUCCUUUUAUAUGGGAAGAACCGUCCUCAUUAAUGAGUGACCUGACGGUACCAUAGGAAUAAGCACCGGCUAACUCCGUGCCAGCAGCCGCGGUAAUACGGAGGGUGCAAGCGUUAUCCGGAUUCACUGGGUUUAAAGGGUGCGUAGGCGGUUUUAUAAGUCAGUGGUGAAAUCAACGGGCUCAACCUGUUAACUGCCAUUGAUACUGUAGGACUUGAAUAUGAGAGAGGUAGGCGGAAUGUUGCAUGUAGCGGUGAAAUGCUUAGAUAUGCUACGGAACACCGAUUGCGAAGGCAGCUUACUAUUUCAUGAUUGACGCUGAGGCACGAAAGCGUGGGUAGCGAACAGGAUUAGAAACCCUGGUAGUCC